rnacentral:rRNA from 1 species
UUGCAUAUCAAAAAGCGGAGGAAAAGAAACCAACAGGGAUUGCCCCAGUAACGGCGAGUGAAGCGGCAACAGCUCAAAUUUGAAAUCUGGCCUCGGCCCGAGUUGUAAUUUGCAGAGGAUGCUUCUGGCGCGGCGCCUUCCGAGUUCCCUGGAACGGGACGCCACAGAGGGUGAGAGCCCCGUAUGGUCGGACGCCAAGCCAGUGUGAAGCUCCUUCGAAGAGUCGAGUAGUUUGGGAAUGCUGCUCUAAGCGGGAGGUAUACGUCUUCUAAAGCUAAAUACCGGCCAGAGACCGAUAGCGCACAAGUAGAGUGAUCGAAAGAUGAAAAGCACCUUGAAAAGGGGGUUAAACAGUACGUGAAAUUGUUGAAAGGGAAGCGCCUGUGACCAGACUUGCGCCGGGCGGAUCAUCCAGCGUUCUCGCUGGUGCGCUCCGCCCGGCUCAGGCCAGCAUCGGUUCUGGCGGGGGGAUAAAGGCGGCGGGAACGUGGCUCCCCCGGGAGUGUUAUAGCCCGCCGUGCAAUGCCCCCGCUGGGACCGAGGUUCGCGCAUCUGCAAGGAUGCUGGCGUAAUGGUCACCAGCGACCCGUCUUGAAACACGGACCAA